GAUGAAGAACGCAGCGAAAUGCGAUACGUUAUGUGAAUUGCAGAUUUUAGUGAAUCAUCGAAUCUUUGAACGCACAUUGCGCCCGCCAGUAUUCUGGCGGGCAUGCCUGUUCGAGCGUCAUUACAACCCUCAGGCCCCCGGGCCUGGCGUUGGGGAUCGGCGGAAGCCCCCUGUGGGCACACGCCGUCCCUCAAAUACAGUGGCGGUCCCGCCGCAGCUUCCAUUGCGUAGUAGCUAACACCUCGCAACUGGAGAGCGGCGCGGCCAUGCCGUAAAACACCCAACUUCUGAAUGUUGACCUCGAAUCAGGUAGGAAUACCCGCUGAACUUAAGCAUAUCAAUAAGCGGAGGA
rnacentral:misc_RNA from 1 species